AACGAACGCUGGCGGCAUGCCUAACACAUGCAAGUCGAACGAGACCUUCGGGUCUAGUGGCGCACGGGUGCGUAACGCGUGGGAACCUGCCCUUAGGUUCGGAAUAACUCCCCGAAAGGGGUGCUAAUACCGGAUAAUGUCUUCGGACCAAAGAUUUAUCGCCUUUGGAUGGGCCCGCGUUGGAUUAGCUAGUUGGUAGGGUAAAAGCCUACCAAGGCGACGAUCCAUAGCUGGUCUGAGAGGAUGAUCAGCCACACUGGGACUGAGACACGGCCCAGACUCCUACGGGAGGCAGCAGUGGGGAAUAUUGGACAAUGGGGGAAAGCCUGAACCAGCAAUGACGCGUGAGUGAUGAAGGCCUUAGGGUUGUAAAGCUCUUUUACCCGGGAUGAUAAUGACAGUACCGGGAGAAUAAGCUCCGGCUAACUCCGUG
rnacentral:rRNA from 1 species